GUCACUCUCCUGUGACUUAUGUUGGACCACUCACAUGACAUAAAGCUAACAGUCUGGGGACACAGAAAUUGUUUGGUGUCCUGCCUGCCUGCAGUGUCUCAUCACCAGAGCAUGCCAGAGCCAACUCAAAGGACUCUGAAGGUUGGUCUUCUAAGCUACAGAAGAGGACUGGUUGAGACUGGCCUUUCCCCAAAAGGAAUGGGAUGGACACAAAAGAACCACAGUUCUUCUACUGAAAGAGCUUUUUGAAUUCUGUAGGCAGCAAGAUCCCAGCAUCAAGCCUUUUAGCAAAGACAGAAGACUGCCUGAGAAGAACCAUCUUUGAAAAUUUGUGAAUUCAACAGUUCAACUGCUAUGCCUGAUAAAUGAAGGUCAAAGACUUCUCUUCCCUGUUUUCCAUGCUUUUGGGUAAGGACUAUAUCCACACUGACAUAUCUGGGAAUAUUGCAUCUCUUGGAACCUCUAGGUCCAACUGGAACCCUGCUCUACCCCCGCCCCCAUAUACAAGAUGGAUGUUCUCCUGGUUCUGCUUAUUUCACUCUGCAUCAAUUACUACAGAUCUUUCCAGUGAAGCUACUCUUCUGGAGCCAAUUUCCCCUUAUUCAUCCUCAAGCCUUCUUGUGAAGCAUUGA
rnacentral:lncRNA from 1 species